UGCCGCCGUCACGUGACCCUGUACUCGGGCCUAGCGCACCUAGUCGAUGUCCUCCCAGGUGCUCCCCUUCACGUGACCUAUCUCCCAGCCAGCCACAAGCUUCGCCCGUUGCCCGUGCAAGGUGUUAUGUGAAAGCCUCUUCAGUUCUUAGACUAUAAGGGAGGAAAAUACAAAUAAGAAUCUAUGUAAAAACAAAACCUGUACAGAGGAGUCAGCAAAUGGUGACCAAAUCAAUGGCUUGACGUCAUCUUCCAGUUUGUUUAGCUGUUUCCGAAAUGAGCUGAAGACUGAUACGAUGCAAACAGUGUUUGCUGUUGUCAGAUGCCACCGGUGUGGUGCUCUGCUUGCUCCUAUGUUAAUAUCACUCGGCUGCGUGCGUGUGUUCCCUCCGUGUGCUGUCCCAGCUCUGCGCAGAUAGCUGACACAGCAGACCCGACGAGAACCCCCAAUAACCACAGAGUCUAGUAAGAUGCAAAGCCACGUCGAGUAGGUUUAUUGCAAUCUUGGACACAAUGGCAGUUCCCCGUAGAUUACUUAGUCUACCGGGCAUACUACGAGAAAGUGCCUCUUGGCAAGGACCCGGCUCAGUGGCGGGACUUUCCACUGCCCCCGUGGCCGGACAAAGACACCCACUCAGGGAUGCAUUCUUAUACACAGAUACAAACAAGUUACACAUCACUCCUGACGUAUUGAGGUGCAACCCCUCUACGCAGCAAGGUACAACCCCUCUACGUAGUAAGGUGCCGCCUCUCACCUUGUACAUGUUGGUUCAAUCAAAACAACUCUAUCCAUCAUUUUACCCUUUUGCCCCUGUCAUUGGGAUGGGUCGGCCUGUUCCAUGUUAUCUGUGGAAUGUUCCAGUAUAGUGUGUUCUGUACUUUAACUUUGCUAGGUGAAUAUAUAUUUAUGCAACAUCAGCCCUUUUCCUGCCAGCUUCUGUGAGCAGGGCCUGCCUCUGGCUCACAGCUUAACUUUGCUUUAUAUUAGCAAAGUCUUGACCAUUACUUUAGUUCAGGCCUUAGGCCUCAUACCGGGCCUCUGAUACCAAGGUUUAUAUCUUAGGGCCUCCUCUUACUACAUUUGCUUUUGAAAAAUUAACUCUGAAUUUUUAAAAACGCAGCAUUGCAUUUUUUCAGCAGCCUGGCUCCCUCCAUUCUGGUAUUGGCCCACAGUAGUCUUCAUGUAAACAGCUAAAUCUGGGGGGUGAAGGUUGAUAUAAUAAUCUUUGUGAUAGUAAAAAGAAAUAGUUUGUUUAAAAUAUGUACACAUGCAUGGACAUAUAUUACUGCCUAAUAUCAUAAGCUAUUAACAGAAUAUCUCUGUCAAUUUAAACAUUAAAUUUUAUUAAAUAAGACAAUUACAACUCCUGGGUUGGGCACCUAGAAUCUGUCCUUUUGUUUUCAGGUGUUGUUAAAGAGCAGUUUUAAAAAAAUAAACUUUAAGCCAA